UUUCACUCCAGACUGUUUUCCUUCACUGUCUCACUCUCGCAGCCCUCCCUCCCUCGCUUUCAUCUCCUCCAUUACCAGCCAUCUCGCUGCCUCCCUACUCUCCAGUCUCCACGGUGCGACGCGACAUCGACGACCCAGCCUCUCCUCGCGAAGUCUGUAACGGAACUUGAAACUCUCAAUAAAAGACCCACCCUCUCAGAGAAUCGAAUCAUGGACCCAGAGAUUGCGAAGACCCACCCUCACUUCCGUCACCUUCGACACCGAUCUCUAUGGCGCAAGCGUCAGGGACGCAUACCACACACUUCAAUCCCCGCCAACGAUGACGAUUGACGACGACAAUCUCGAUGCCAUCGACAACGUCGUUGCUCGCAUUAUUCGCCAGUUAACUUACUUUAGGCCUUCAUAUACAGGGUUUCCUCUCUCAGGUUGAGCUGCACAAAAAAGAUGCAUUUUUGGUUUAGGGUUUAGCAAUUCGGCGAAUUUCAGAACAAGUGAACUGUUGUGUGCGAAAGGGUUCAAGCUGAAUUGCUCAGUUGAUAGAGAAAUGGAUGUGAGCACUUCGGUGGAUGAUGCUUUUGCAGAGUGCUUAAGCGGUUUGCUUUCUGCUUUUCUAAUUUUGUGAUGAUACCAGAUGUAGGAGUAGUAUUUUGUUUUAUGGGUAUAUAUAUGCUGAUUCUUCCUCUUUGCAGAAGAAGGGCUAACAGAGCCUAAUAUCUCAACAAUGGUGUUGAAUUUUGAGAAUAAGUUUGAUCCUUAUGGGCUGUUAGUGCUCCGCCUAAUCCAGAUUACUAUUGCCGUUACGACUUCAAAUUAGUGAAAUUGUUUUCAAGAUCAAAACAAAACUUGAAAUGAGAUUUUUUUCUUUUGAUGAUUCUGAGUUCUUCCCUAAUUUCAGAACAGAUUGAAGACCGAAAAAUGCAAUCCCUGAGCUGUCACCAUGGUCCUUCAGAGCUGCUUCAAACCAUAAUUUUGAGCCGCCAAGCCCAUCUAUUCCUCCCUAAUUUUGGAACUGCUUGGAGGCUGAAAAUGGAAUCCCGUAGUUUCUCCAUUAAUUCCUCUCUUAGAAAUUAGUGUUUUUGAAUUCAAAUUUAUUCUUGACCGUAAAAUACUCCCCCCAUUAAUUGAUUACUUGACUGUAUUUGCUUUCAAUUGUUUCCUUUCUUGAGUGGAAAUUUAAAGAAAGUCAAAUUAGUUCAUAUUUAUGUUUCUAAGCGCCUAUAUAUAUUACUACUUCUGCAUUGUCCUUUGCACACUUUAUAUUUUGAGUUGUUUAUGUUCUCAUCAAACUGAGGUUUUGUUUUUCUUUUCUUUGCUGUAGUGAUUACUCAAGCAGCUUACUAAGGUGUCUGAACGGGAAUAACAUUAAGUGUAUUCCGUAUGAGAGCUUGAACAUCACAAAAUAUGAUUGAAGACUGAGCAUAGGAAGAGCUAUGCGCAGGUGAUGACUGCAAGAUCAAGGUUUGAAACUAAAAGUUGUACAGGUGAUUGUUCACUCUCCUGGGUCACCUUGAUUACAUCGUGAUGUUUGCUCUGUUUCAGUAUAAAGACUCAAUAGUCACUCUCCUGGUGUUUACUUUAAUUUAGUAAUGAAUAAUAAGUUUGGUGACUAUCGGUUUUGUAGUGGUGGAAUUUCUUUUUGCAAUUAGCAUUGGUUGGUGGACUAAAGAUGAAAAAGUUUAAAGUUAUAAUAAUAUCAAUAUUUCAAGGAAUGAUGUUUCUUUUUUUUUUCCUUUUUUCCUGAGUUUGCUUUUAAGCUAUUUAUAAGAAGUUUGAGUAAUCUUCUCAGGUAUUAAUGGUAGCAGUGAAACUUGAAAUCCUAAACAAGAUAAGCCUUAUCACUAUUUUUCUUCCCUUUCUAGGGUCUUGCUUUUAGAUGCAUGGUGACCAUAAUUUUUACUGUUAUCCCAUUUGUUCUUUCCUUUUCUCCCAUAAUCAUUCUCAGAAUCUUUGUUCUUAGAAUAGUCUCCUCUUUGUAAAUCUUAGUCAUUCCCUGAUGUUGAUGCACCAUAAUCUCUUGGUUGUCAUGUAAAUUGAAAUUUUGUGCGUGGAAAUACUUAAAAAAAAAGUAAAGUUCCUGAUAGUUCUUCUCUGGCUAUGUUUCAAGUAUAAUUCAGAUCAUAUAAAUGAAGCUCCAUUUGUGUCUAUAUAUUUUUAGGAAAUGUUUGAGAAGGAUGCUCCUCCAUGUGAAUUCCUAGUGAGUGGAGAUUAAUACUGGGGUCCUGCAAAAAGAAAGCGAAAAGAAACAAUGAUAGAAAAUGAGAACAGAAAUUCAAAUAAUGAGAACAAUGAUAGAAUAAGAGAAGGUACUUCAGGCAUACCACAGUAAGAAGGUCUUGUUUCAGGAUUCGCAUGAUGCACUUGAGGUAUUACUUGUAGCUAUUCUAUUUGUCAUCAAAGUUACUUGUAGCUAAUCUAGGACUACAAAGGAUGAUUUUUAUUGAAUGCAAUCACUACUUUAAAUACAUCAAAAGUAAUUGAACAAAAAGAUAUUGCUCCUUAAUUCUAAAAACCGCUACUGAUAAUUGAAAAUUUAGAUUAGAAACUAACCUAUCCACUAAUUGCUAGUGGGCUAGUGGCAAAAUCUAAAUUUGACUAGUUGAAAAUAAAUUAAAAAUAGUUCUGAAGCAUCAUAUUCCUAUGGCACACUUUCAACUGUUUCCAUCAACUUGUCUAUAAUAUUCUUUAAUGCAAAAGCACUCGCAACACAAUCCUCAUCAUCAAAGCAGGAUCUACCUUCUUCAGCUGCCUUACAAAGCUUCGAUCUAAAGGAACCUUACCGAGGAAUGGUAUCAUCAUUUCCUUCGGCAAGGAAAUGAUGCUACUCCAGGUGGAGCAGUGAAGAUGUGCAAGGAAAUGAUGAUACCAUUCCUCGGUAAGGUUCCUUUAGAUCCGAAGCUUUGUAAGGCAGCUGAAGAAGGUAGAUCCUACUUUGAUGAUAAGGAUUGUGUUGCGAGUGCUUUUGCAUUAAAGAAUAUUACAGACAAGUUGAUGGAAACAAUUGAAAGUGUGCCAUAGGAAUAGGAUGCUUCAGAACUAUUUUUAAUUUAUUUUCAACUAGUCAAAUUUAGAUUCUACCACUAGCCCACUAGCGAUUAGUGGAUAGGUUAGUUUUUAAUCUAAAUUUUCAAUUAUCAGUAGCGGUUUUUAGAAUUAAGGAGCAAUAUCUUUUUGUUCAAUUACUUUUGAUGUAUUUAAAGUAGUGAUUGCAUUCAAUAAAAAUCAUCCUUUGUAGUCCUAGAUUAGCUACAAGUAACUUUGAUGACAAAUAGAAUAGCUACAAGUAAUACCUCAAGUGCAUCAUGCGAAUCCUGAAACAAGACCUUCUUACUGUGGUAUGUCUGAAGUACCUUCUCUUAUUCUAUCAUUGUUCUCAUUAUUUGAAUUUUUGUUCUCAUUUUCUAUCAUUGUUUCUUUUCGCUUUCUUUUUGCAGGACCCUAGUCUUAAUCUCCACUCACUAGGAAUUCACAUGGAGGAGCAUCCUUCUCAAACAUUUCCUAAAAAUAUAUAGACACAAAUGGAGCUUCAUUUAUAUGAUCUGAAUUAUACUUGAAACAUAGCCAGAGAAGACUAUCAGGAACUUUACUUUUUUUUUAAGUAUUUCCACGCACAAAAUUUCAAUUUACAUGACAACCAAGGGAUUAUGGUGCAUCAACAUCAGAGAAUGACUAAGAUUUAUAAAGAGGAGACUAUUCUAAGAACAAAGAUUCUGAGAAUGAUUAUGGGAGAAAAGAAAAGAACAAAUGGGAUAACAGUAAAAAUUAUGGUCACCAUGCAUCUAAAAGCAAGACCUAGAAAGGGAAGAAAAAUAGUGAUAAGGCUUAUCUUGUUUAGGAUUUCAAGUUUCACUGCUACCAUUAAUACCUGAGAAGAUUACUCAAACUUCUUAUAAUUAGCUUAAAAGCAAACUCAGGAAAAAAGAAAAAAAAAAGAACCAUCAUUCCUUGAAAUAUUGAUAUUAUUAUAACUUUAAAAUUUUUCAUCUUUAGUUCACCAACCAAUGCUAAUUGCAAAAAGAAAUUCCACGACUACAAAACCGAUGGUCACCAAACUUAUUAUUCAUUACUAAAUUAACCAAACUACAUCAGCUACAAGAAACACCCUCAAUCAUCAGUUAGUGAAACCAGCAAUGGUAGCAUGAGAUUCAAGAGCCUUAGCAACAGGAGCAGGUUCAAUAGCUGGGUGGGGCUCAAAAGCCUUGCCAAGAAGCUCCUGAGGCAAAUCCUAACACCCUUCAAAUAGAAGGUGUAGAAAAUCUUGAAAGGAUAAACAAUCUGGUUCAGCUUCACUUGGCCCCUAGCCCCUUCAAAGAUUCCAGAACCACCAGUCACAGAAAGUCAUGUGCCUAUAUGUCAGGUAUGGUCCUUGCACUGUAAGGUGACCAUAGUCUCCAAAGUAGAAGUUGUAAACAGCUUCAUAAGGAUUGAAUGUUUAGGGUUCUUGUUCUUUCAGUCUUAACUCUUGUACCCGUUGUGAGACAAAAUCUAACCGUUGUUCUGGCCGUUGUGAGAUAGAUCCAUCCAUUGAUUCAAAUGGCUCCGGUUGGUAGAUGCAUUAAAUGCAUGCUACUGUUCAAGUGUGUCCUUUUGUCGAAAAGGUGAGGCUUAUCAGCUAGUAUGUGACAAUAGACUUUGACUACUUUUCAGAAGUGAGACAAUUGGGAAAUUUGAUGUUGACAUGUUCUAUUUUUCCUCGUUGGUCAGCGUGCUUCAAGGAGAGAAAAAUCUUCACAUGAUCUCAAUUGAAUUCCUUAGCAGCUGGUUGCAUUCUGACUUAUUGUUGAUGCUUUGACAUAUGUCUUCAACCUUUCUGAAUGAUGAGCUGGCAUUAGACGAUUAAUAGUGGAUGUGACUUAGCUUAUGUCACACGUGUGCCAGAUAGUAUUGCAAAUUUGAAUCUUAAUCUUUAGGAUAGAUUGAACGUUGAGGUCCUUUAUUCAUAAAGAAUAAAUCCUAAAAUUCAAAUUAAUUUAGAAGCUUAGAUUUCAGCGAAGAGCUUCUAUGUAUACUAAAAUUGUUAUUGAUCAAAAUUAGAUUUUAAAACAAUAUGAUACGUUUGAACUUAAUAGCCUCAACAGAGUAUCUCGGAACCUUGGAGUCAUGGGAGGUUGCCGAUUUGGAUUCCAAGCCGCAUCACCAGCACGCUAAUGAUUCUCCUUCUCCUCAACCUCCUCCUUUGUCUUCUUCGUCCAGUGGUGAUAAGGUCUCUGAUCUAAAACCCCACAAGAACCUGCCAAGAGACCUCGGCGUUUGGACAUCAGAAACCACCUCGAGUUCUUGGUUCUGGACUGAUUUCUGGGUUUCUCGUUUAUCCGAUCUAUGGUUCUGAGAUUUUUUUGAGUUUGUUUUUCUGGAUCUGGAUUGAUUUCUGGGUUUGUUUCCUGAGUCUGAGUUUUCAUCAAGUUAGAGAGAGAGAGAGAGAGAGUUUGUUUAAAUAUUUCUUUUACUGUUGUUUAAAUAUUCAUGUGAACCAAUGUUAUGUCUCUGAUUGUGAGAAUUUGAAGAAAGUUUCAAGCUUU